GCCAAUAUGGUGCAGUGGUUUGAGUGUCAGGCUAUGCCUGGAGACCAGGGUUUGAAUCCUUGCUUGGCA